GGGUGCGUAGUUCAUUGGUAGAACGCCUUCCUGAUAAGAAGGAGGUACAUAGUCCGAUUCUAUGCGCACCCA
rfam:Candidatus Gottesmanbacteria bacterium RIFCSPLOWO2_01_FTLL_46_9 rifcsplowo2_01_scaffold_17694, whole genome shotgun sequence.